UACUUGUACACACACACUGAUAUCGCAUCACCAAAUUGCGGCAUACUAAUCGGAUAAUAUACCAAUAUCGAGAAUGUUAUCACUAUAUAAGCACCUUUACAAGUAAUUAUGAUACACCAACAUUAACUCAACACUUGACAACAUUUCAUUCAUACAAAUAUUGAAUCAACUUCCACACAGAGUGCGCUCGCAGCUGACUUAGCAUAAUGUUUCCAGCUGAACAGAUAAUGUAGAGCAUCAUGUUUCAACAAACAGCAAACUUAAAACUACAUCUUAGAAUCUGCCUCGUCCUCUGAAACCACGCCCUCCACCCCUGGGAGUGCACUUUGAAUCAACUUCCACACAAAGUGCGCUCGCAGCUGACUUAGCAUAAUGUUUCCAGCUGAACAGAUAAUGUAGAGCAUCAUGUUUCAACAAACAGCAAACUAAAAACUACAUCCUAGAAUCUGCCUCGUCCUCUGAAACCACGCCCUCCACCCCUGGGAGGUCCACGACCCCUUGGUGCACCUCUUCCACGGAAUCCACCACGGCCACCAAAUCCACCGCGACCACCACCUCUUCCACCGCGACCACCACCUCUUGGAGUCGAGCCCCUGCAUAUACAACAAGCAAAGCAAAAGACUAUCAAACAACUAACAAGUUAUCAAGCUGUAACUAGACAAAUGCUGAACACUUUAUUUGGUUUCUCAUAUGCAUUUUCCACAUGUACACUAAUGGUACUCCCUUCGUUUCAUACUAAUGCUAAGAAUGCUGCUGAUAUUUUUAUACAGACUUGGUCAAACUUAGCAAAGUUUUGACUUAGGAAAAUCCUAUAACCUCUUUCACACAGACUGUCUGCAAGAGUUUUGACACUGAUGGUUUCAAGUUUGAAGAACGUAGUCAGUUCAAACUUAUCAAUACACUACGAACUGAAUAAGAGUUAGCCAUGAAAAGACAUGUUGCUAAGUUCCAUAUUCAAGACUGAAGAGUAAAUAAUGCAAAAGAAAUGACAGGUAAACAGAUCAUUACUUUGGCUGCGGCAGGAAGCGUGAGAGGGGCAGCAGCUUCAUGGGGUCAAUGAAGAACUUGUCACCUUCGUUGUAAGAUGUUGCAAUGACUCCCUCGAACAUCUUGACCGAGAAAUACUACAGGCAAUACAAAACUUAUAAGAUAUGCAGCAUGAUACUACAGACGAUACAAACUUAUAAGAUAUGCAGCAUGAGCAGACCUAAAAUUUAGAGCAAUGGUAACAACAGAGGUAAAAAAACAAUCAGGUAAGGCAUUCAGUCAUCUUAAAAGUUGCACCUAAUUAUUAAACACGCUACGGCAUUGCCACACAGCCAAAACAAACAUUUUCAACUGUACUAAAUGGAGAACCAAACUCAGUUCUCACAUGCCUUGAGAUUCAAGACUCUAAAUUUGAAGUGGUAAACUGCUAGCUCCAACCGAGCAAAAAAUCCUGCCUAACAACAGAUGGACCAGUUGGUCAAAACUUUGCAGGCACUAUAUUGAUGAUGAGGGGAAGGAAGCGCUUACUGAUUCGUUGAUGGGGCCGAAGAUCUCGUCGACUUUGCCGAUCUGGGUCUUGUUCUGGAGGUAUAUGGGCGCGUUGAAGUAGGGCACUUUCUCGUUCGUCAGCUUCGUUACCGCGUCCCCCUCGCAGGCGUGCAGGAACGUCGACACCUCUGCAUAAUAAACAAACAAAAAAACAAGAGACAUCAAACUCACCGGAGUCUCGAAAAGAAGAGGGCUCGGACAGUUAGGACUUGAAAGAAACCACGCACCGACGACCUCGGCUGGAGGGCCCUCGUCGCGGAACCCGCCGCCGCCUCCACCGAAGCGGCCCCUACCGCCGCCGCCGCGGCCGCCUCCACCGAAGCGGCCACCUCGGUCGCCGCCGCGUCCGCGGAAACCUCCGCCGCCUCUCGGUGGCCGCAUGGCGAUGGGUGUUUGGGGGCGGGGGCGGGGGCGAGGAAGGGUUUCGGCGACGAGGGGUGAGGGGUUUGUUAGGGUUUUAGCGGAGGAGGCCAUACCUGGGCCCAUGAAGUCCAAUAUGGGCCCAAUACUCAUUUCGGCCCAUAUAUAGCAAGAUAUUGGUUGCUCGUUUUGUUUCUCUUUUUUUUAUACUGAUGACAAACAGAUAAUGUUCUGACCCGUUGGCCUCCGCCGAAGAUUAUACUCCCUCCGUUCCUAAAUACUUGUUUUUCUAGGUAUUUCAAAUGACUAUCACAUACGGAUGUAUGUAGACAUAUUUUAGAGUGUAAAUUCACUCAUUUUACUUCGUAUGUAGUCACUUGUUGAAAUGCCUAGAAAGACAAGUAUUUAGGAACGGAGGGAGUAGUAACUAAGGUCAUGUACAAUGGUUGAUAAAAUAGUCUUAUCUUAAGUCUUGUAUGUAAUUUGGAGAUGACAAAAAAAAUGUCUAUAAUGGGUUAUCUCUUAGCCUUAUCUUCAAUAACUAGUUAUUCCUAAAAACGUGGUGAGACAUAUUGUGCUAAUAAAUCAUCUCUUGUCUUCUCUUAAAUAAGAGAAGACAAACCUUUUCUUAUGACUUCUCUCUCCUCCACCUCAUCAUUUAUCCUAUGUGGCAUUGCUAAGAUAGAACCUUUGUACAUGUCCUAAGAAUAAAUCUAGACUAUACGAUAAAGAAAUUACGGCAUAGUACAUCCAUUGGACAUCAAAGUUCGCCACCCAUGAUAAUAAAGCACAACCAGACAGCAGAUUACAUACACUAGGCAUCAAAAGUCGCCAUCAGUGCAAAUAAACGCACAAACAAAAUAAUAUACAGAACUGACAUCAUUUUUAACACACAAAGUGAGGUCCAUCUCCUUAUGAAAUCCCAGGUUCAGGUUGUACACAUAUAAGAACUCUCUCCAAGAGUUGCCGAUGAAAUAUGUUUUUUCUUGAUUAUUGGUGACAUCGACAACAAAAUCGAAUCCUUCUUUUGUCUCAAGCAAAGAUGUAACUUGAGUUAAAACAUAUCUCAUAAUGUUGAUGUGUUUUAAGAAAUCAUUUCUUGCAAAGCAGGGGAUAGCCUGAGAAAAAUGGAAGAAAAAGCCAAGUAUUCUUACAGAGAAUUAUGAACUGAAUAUUCUUACAGAAAGAAGAUUGUAUGUUCGUGAUAUUAUUUUCUAAAAGACUAUACUUCAGAUAACAAUGUGUCAUGUGACAAAACAUGAAAAUUACAAAUAGGUAGACAUGAAUAUGAAAUUGGUAUCCAAACAGAAUUUAUGUAUCCCUAGGUAUUGGUCCGUAAAAUGUUGGUACGAGUUCUAUGUUGAAGUCUGUAUGAAAUCAGGACAUACUAAAAGGACAUGUGGGUUGGUCUAAAAGGCAAAACUUUGGAAACAUAAUGAAAUAAUUAGAGGCAAUUGAAAGAAUAUUGGAUAUACAUCGUGUCCAGUCAAUAAGGGAGCACAUAGUUAUGAAAAAAAUAUAAUUAACUAACUAAUAAAUUAGACAUCUGAUGAACAAGAUUCGAAUAAAUAUUUCAAACUUGCCUUUCUUUCUUUACAGUUUGGUGGAAAAAAGAGGGAAAGGUAGUUGUUCUUCAGAAUGUUGUCCUCGUCGCACAAGCCGCUGAAGUCGUUAGAAAUUGGGCAUUAGAAAAGUGCCAACAACCGGUUUAGUAAAAGAAAAGUACUCGGACCUGAUUUGAACGAGAUUAAGGAUACAUGGAGAUUUACCUCCAUUUCAUGAUUUGCAUUGAGGUCCAUUGGGGUUUUCUUCUGUAGCGCGACUUGCAAGGGGGACGUACCACCGGCAGUAGUUGCAGUGCUCGUCGAUGAUUGUCAUCAUCGACAUCCGACAAGCAAUGGCAGCAACGUCCAGUAGAAGUAUGAAGAGAGUAGAUCUACAGAAUAAUAGUAGAAAGAAAUAAGAUGAGGGGAAAAGAAGAGCGAGAAAGAAGUUGAGGCGUCUGCGAACUACAGACCACAAAAAUUAAUUUUAGGUACCUCGGCUGCACGACUUGUUGGCUAUUUGCAGUAAUAAGUUUUUAGAAAUUUAAGCAGCAGAAUGGGCACAAGUUGCUACGUACUACAAAACUGAAGCUACUAGGUAAGUUCCAGAAGAAAAAAAGUCUGCUUUUUUUUUAACACGGUACAGAUGCAAGCGCUUAUAUACACACGCAUACACUCACCCAUAUGAACACAUACGCACACCCUACCCAUGAGCACCUCCGAAAGACUGAGCCGGUAUAUCAUCUUGAAAUUUACGAAGUUACCGUAGGCAUCUCGUCGUCAACGGGAACGUCUCCUCCCACUGAAUGUGCAUUGCCGGAAAUCCUGGAAUAAAUCCAGGAAUAAAUGCGAGCACAGGAUUUGAACCCUGGUGGGCUGGGGAUACCACAGUCCGUCUAACCAUCCAACCACAGGUUGGUUCGAAAAAAGAAAAGUCUGUUUCGUAGACUAUAACUUCGUAGAACAAGAAUCAAAAUGUUAGGACUAGAAAUGAAAUCAAAUCAUAGAAAAAACAGUGCACUUUGAAGGACGAAAUGGAAAUGAUAUCUGGUAGGGGAAAUUUCAUGAGGAAGGCAACGAAGUCUUUCAACAAAUUAAUAUUUC
rnacentral:lncRNA from 1 species